UACGUAGGGUGCGAGCGUUAAUCGGAAUUACUGGGCGUAAAGCGUGCGCAGGCGGCUGUACAAGACAGGUGUGAAAUCCCCGGGCUCAACCUGGGAACUGCACUUGUGACUGUACGGCUGGAGUACGGCAGAGGGGGAUGGAAUUCCGCGUGUAGCAGUGAAAUGCGUAGAUAUGCGGAGGAACACCGAUGGCGAAGGCAAUCCCCUGGGCCUGUACUGACGCUCAUGCACGAAAGCGUGGGGAGCAAACAGG
rnacentral:rRNA from 1 species